UUCGUAGUUUGGAAGGGAUACCAGUAGGUGGCAGGCUAGUAAGCAAGAGCUACUGUUAGCUGGAAGCAGGAAGCUAAGAAAAGGUGUUGUUACUUUGAGGUUAGGAAGAGCUACUAUUAGCUGAAAGGCUAGAAAGCUAGAAAGCUAGGAAGAGCUACUACUACUAGUAGUAGGCUAGGAAUCUAGGAAGAACUACUGUUAGAUGGGAGACUGGGAAGCUUACAAGAAGCUAGGAACCUCCAAGCCUCAGUGACCAGGGCCGGGUAGUCUGGUCUGGCUGUGACGUAGCGCUCUAUCUGGGCAUGCACCGACUCCAACACCUAGAAACACACCACAGACGAUACAGGACCAAUCUGAGAAAUACCAACCGGUGGGAAGUGGAAAUUGCCUGGCGGGCAUCCCAGAGGUAAUGGAGGUAGUUUACAUCCAUCAGAAAGUCUGAACCGCGACAGUAGCCGACGCUGUCCGAUACUGAAAGAUCUAACAGACACAGAGAAUUCAAUGGAUGUGUUCUGAGUGUGAGUUGUGGAGGUAUACCGGGCACCAGGACGGCAUGAGGAGGAGGAAAGAGGCAGCACUGGAGGAAUAACAGUCCCUCUGCUUUAAGGAGCAGCGUUGUUUCCUGUUCAGAUGGCUGCAGGGGAUCAGAUACCUGAGGAAACAUGGACCCACAUGGGUCAGCAAGACAGAACAGACUCAGCUGGUCUGGAGUCUCUCCGCACGGUACUGAUUCCGCUCCAUCAAAGAUCAAGAGCUUGACUGCUGAGAGGCAUGUCCUACCUGGAAAGGUGUGUUGACCCUGCUGACCAGCGUGUCCAGGAUGUGAACGUUGUCGUGGGUGUGCAGCAGGAUGAAUGACAGGAAGGUCUGGAGGAGGGCGGGCUCGGAGAUGGAGCGCAGGAAGAGAUCCAGAGCUGGAGCGAGCACAGGCACGAGGAAGCCAUUGUGGAUGUAACCCAACAGCUGGGACCGAAUCGAGGGAUGAGCGACCUAAAAAGGAGACAAAGACAAACGGAAAGAAUAAAAAUGGAGGGAACUUUUCGGAUUGUAUCAUUUUAUAUGUGGGGAUGCACUGUAUGUUACCUUGGUAACAGCACUGCAGAAGUCCAGAGAGUGCAGGAAGUGUACAAGAGCUGGAACCUGGUGACCGAAAGACAAGGACAUAUACAAGUUGCCAUGGUUACCUGCUGCCAGUCAGCCUCGUCCAGACAGUGCCAGUCUUCACUGUAAACCUGCAGCCUGGCUGGAAGAGACGAGUACAGACCGGACAGACCUGUGGCCAGCACCUGAAAACACACCAACAUUUCUUUAUUUAAUAGUUGUCAUGAGAAGAUGUCACUCUUGUGAUGGGAAAAAAUGUGACAAACAGCUCUGUGCUGUUCCCAUAAUGAGGGUUUUGGUUCACGAGUGAGAAAUCCCAACACUGAUCUUUGCCAGGUGCCAUUUUCCAGGAUUGGCUGCACUGGACGGUUCAUUCAUUCAAAUACCGAGGGUGGUCGUAAUGUGCUACCUGAGCUAUAUUCUGUAAAUUCAAUCACGUUUUUUGUUAGCUCAGGCAGCCAGGGUUAUUAAAUGUAUUUUUGUUUCUUCUGUUGCAUUUAGGGUUUUCGUUAGUGUUUUGGGGAAUAAGAUAGCUGGGGUUUUGUUGCCUACUUUACUUUGUAUGUAGCCUUGUAUAUAGCUCACUUGUCACUGGUUGUGUGUUGGGUUGUAAUAAACAGUUCACUUAGUUUGCACUUCGCA